AACGAACGCUGGCGGCAGGCUUAACACAUGCAAGUCGAGCGCCCCGCAAGGGGAGCGGCAGACGGGUGAGUAACGCGUGGGAAUCUACCCAUCUCUACGGAAUAACGCAUGGAAACGUGUGCUAAUACCGUAUACGUCCUUCGGGAGAAAGAUUUAUCGGAGAUGGAUGAGCCCGCGUUGGAUUAGCUAGUUGGUGGGGUAAGGCCUACCAAGGCGACGAUCCAUAGCUGGUCUGAGAGGAUGAUCAGCCACACUGGGACUGAGACACGGCCCAGACUCCUACGGGAGGCAGCAGUGGGGAAUAUUGGACAAUGGGCGCAAGCCUGAUCCAGCCAUGCCGCGUGAGUGAUGAAGGCCCUAGGGUUGUAAAGCUCUCUCACCGGUGAAGAUAAUGACGGUAACCGGAGAAGAAGCCCCGGCUAACUUCGUGCCAGCAGCCGCGGUAAGAC
rnacentral:rRNA from 1 species